rnacentral:lncRNA from 1 species
GGCCACCUUGAGAAGCUGCGAAGAUGGCGGAGUAAGGCGUGCCGCUGCAAACUGGCCUCUGGGCCGGGGGCGAGCAGCCCCCGGGAGGCCGAGUGCAUCUGUUGGACCGUGCGAGGAGAAGAAAAAAAAUAUCGGCCAGAGGAGAGGAACUAACCGAACAUUCUUCCUCCCUACCUUAUAGAGGGGAGUGGUCAUCUACACUAAAGCAAAGUGUUAGGCGCGUCCGUGCGAAGAGACCACCAAACAGGCUUUGUGUUCCUUAUCACAGGAAGAAAAUUUUCCUUGACCUUUAGGUGCUUUUAUAUUCAUCUCAAAAACAAAAUUCUGAACUCAGGACUUGGCAACAUAACUCCAGUCUUCACAUGAAGUUCUUCCUGUGUGUGUAUCUGAGUCCUAAUAUAAGGAGACUAGUCAUAUUGGAUUGGGGUCCAUCCUGCUCUGUUAAUGACCUCAUCUUAGCUGCUGACAUCUGUAAUGACUCUAUUACCAAAUAAGGUCACAGUAUGAGGUAGUAGGGGCUAGGACUUUUAACAUACGAAUAUUGGGAGGACACAGUUCAACCCAUUAACACCUACUUAUACCUUGAUUAAUUAUAUGAAAACCAUUCAGUGUACAACUGCUUCAAGGAUUGAAACCUUGUAUGUAGUCCCAGCUACUCUGGAAACUGAGGUAGUAGGAUUGCUUGAGGCCUGAAGUUCAAGGCUGCAGUAUGCUGAUUGUGCCUGUGAAUAGCCACUGCACCCCAGCUUGGGCAGCAUCAGAAUUAUAGAGACAGAAAGUAGAAUGAUGGUUGCCAGGGGUUGCAGGAAGGGCAGCGAGAGGGAAUUACUGUGUAAUGUGUACAAGGUUUCAGUUUGGGAAGAAGAAAUGAGUCCUGGAGAUGGAUUACGGUGAUGGUUGCACAGCAGUAUGAAUGUACUUAAUACUACUGAAUUGUAUACUCGAAAGGGUUAAUAUGGUGAAUUUUAUGUGUAUUUUAUCACAAUAAAAACAUUGAAAAAUAAAA